rnacentral:rRNA from 1 species
CGCCUUGCCAGCCCGCUCAGAAACUUAAAGGAAUUGACGGGGGCCCGCACAAGCGGAGGAACAUGUGGUUUAAUUCGAUGAUACGCGAGGAACCUUACCUGGGCUAGAACGCAAUCGGAAUCAGGCCGAAAGGUCUGCGCCAGCGAUGGCCGCUUGCGAGGUGCUGCAUGGUUGUCGUCAGCUCGUGCCGUGAGGUGUCGGGUUAAGUCCCAUAACGAGCGCAACCCCUACUGCUAGUUGCCAGCGGGUCAUGCCGGGGACUCUAGCGGAACUGCCAGCGUAAGCUGCGAGGAAGGUGGGGAUGACGUCAAAUCAGCACGGCCCUUACGUCCAGGGCUACACACGUGUUACAAUGGCCAGUACAGAGGGCAGCCACCCCGCGAGGGGGCGCUAAUCCUAAAAGCUGGUCCCAGUUCGGAUCGGAGUCUGCAACCCGACUCCGUGAAGCUGGAUUCGCUAGUAAUCGCGCAUCAGCCACGGCGCGGUGAAUACGUUCCGGGCCUU